CCGGCGGCGGGCGCGGGAGGAGGGGAAGGAGGAGGAGGAGGAGGAGGGAGAGAAGGAGAAGGAGGAGCGGGAUGGGGCUGCGCAGGGCAGGCGGCGAGCUCAGCCCGCUGCUGCCCUUGGCUCGCAGGUGGCCUUCAAAAGGGUGCCCCGGAACCGCGUCCGGCACUGGGGCGAGCUGAUGAGUGAGAGGGGCCAGCGGCAGAAGCCGGGCCGUGCCGGGCGGGGAUGAGCCGGGCCCGGCAGGGUGGGAGCCGCCGGGAGCCCUGCAGGGAGAGCGGGCGUGGGGCCAGCGCAGGGCGCAGAGCAGCCCGGGCUGGGUGAGGGGUUCCCGACCCCCGGCACGGCAUCAGCCCCACUGACGGCAUCGUAUUCUUUCCGCAGCCCGACGGCACCAGCGCGCCCCUGGAGAUCGUGCUGCUGGACGAGGUCUCCUCUGGCUGUGCUGGUGUCAUUCAGCUCCUGGAAUGGUUUCAGCUCCCCGACAGCUUCGUGCUGGUGCUGGGGCGUCCGGAGCGCUGCCAGGACCUGUCGGGUUUCCUGGCAGAGCGGGGAUUCUUGUCCGAGGAGGCGGCGCGGGGACUGUUCCGCCAGGUGCUGGAGCCGUGCGGCGCUGCAGCAGCUGCGGGGUCCUGCACAGGGACAUCAAGCCAGGGAACAUCCUGCUCGACCUGGCCACCAGGCAGGUGAAACUGAUGGACUUUGGCUGUGGUGCCUUCCUCCAAGACACAGCCUACACCCAGUUUGCAGUUGUGCCUUCCCAGGGCUUCUGCUGCCCUUUUCCAGCACCAGUGGCUUCUUUUCCAGCCCCGAGUCUCUACACAAGUCCCAGGUGCUGGUGAGAGGGUAGCGGGCACACCGUGUGCCACUGGGGCAGGCCCCGCACGCCCAGGGGUGUUGGGGCCAGGCUCUUGGGAACAGCAGCAUCCCCAUGAACUCUGUGUUCCACAGGAACCCUGUCCUACAGCCCACCAGAGUGGAUCCACCACCAACGCUACCACGGCAAGGCAGCGACGAUCUGGUCCCUGGGCCUCCUACUGUACCACCUGGUCAUGGGGAAGCACCCAUUCAGGAGGGGCCAGGAGAUCAUCUGGGGGUGGAUCUUCUUCCUACCACGGCUCUCUCAAGGUGGAUGCUCAUUUCUGGGCACGGGGGCAAUACCAGGUGGGUGACAGCAGCAGCUUGUGAGCAUCCUGCUCUGGCAGCUGCUGAGGAGGUGGCACAUGUCCUGCUCUCCUGCUCUCCUCCGAAACAGGGAAUUGAUGAGAAAGUUUAGGCCCAACUCUGGGCAUACCCAGCAUGGCCUGGGCACAGGAACGGGGUACAGCUUCUCCAAAUGAUUGGUGAUUUCUGGUUUCUCUCCCCAUAGUGCCAGGAUGUCCUUAAGAGGUGUUUGUCCAUGCAGCCCUUGAACAGGCCAUCCUUAGAAGAGCUUUUCUGCGAUCCUUGGGUGCAAGGUGUUCCUUUGCCCUAGAUGAUGGGAGAGAUCCACGUGAACAGCUGGAUGCAGGGGCCUGGCAGGAACAGCUCCACACAUUUCUUGGCAAUCAGUGGCAAAGCCAACCAGACUGGUUUUGUCCUGCCUGUAGUUCUGAGUAGGGGUCAGCAGAGGGGAACACGCAGCUCUUGGGCUGGAGCUGAGCUGGAGACCUGGUGUGGCAAGCACUGGUGGCCACCAUCCACCUGGUUUUGCUUGCCAUGGUUCAUGGAUGGCUGGGGCCCUCGGCAGAAGCCUGACAGACUGGUCUGGCCCCAGGGAAGGAGAAGGAGCCCCUGGAGAAGCUGUACCAGGUAGGGCUGCUGCUGCUGGGGACAGCAAGGACAAGAUCAAGGAUGACAACC
rnacentral:lncRNA from 1 species